rnacentral:snoRNA from 1 species
CACCUCUCAGGGUCACAACUGGAGAGUUUCCAGUCCUCUUCCAGUCUCGACUAAGGGAGGGAGAGUCAAGGAGAGGCCUAUCUAUUCCACUUCUAGCUCGGGCAGUGGCUAGCGAGUGGAAGGCAAUCUGCUACACGU